AAGUCGUAACAAGGUAACCGUAGGUGAACCUGCGGUUGGAUCAUUAAAAAUCAUUUGGUCUUGUGCCAAAUCAACACCUGUGUGCACUAUUGUCUGUAUUUGGUAGUUCGAGUGCGUUCCUGGAGCUCAACACUCAAGGGACGCCUACCACUGCGUUCGUUGCGGGGAGGGUGCGGGAUUUGACUCCGGUCAGACCCUGUGUCCCCUUGCAUGCUUUGGUUGGGCUACCGCCUUUUUUGAAAAACAUCUUGUAUUUUUUUUUCCUGCCUGAACGAAGAUUUAAUCUUGAUUGAUUAAUGAUUUGAAAACAACUUUUGACAACGGAUCUCUUGGCUCUC
rnacentral:misc_RNA from 1 species